rnacentral:rRNA from 2 species
CCAAGUCAAUGACGAAUAGCUAUGCUGAGAGGUAGAAUAGCCACAAGGGGACUGAGACACGGCCCCUACUCCUACGGGAGGCAGCAGUAGGGAAUUUUUCACAAUGGGCGAAAGCCUGAUGGAGCAAUACCGCGUGAAUGAUGAAGGUCUUCGGAUUGUAAAAUUCUUUUAUUAGGGACGAACGGCACUAAGAGGAAAUGCUUAGUGAUUGACUGUACCUAUUGAAUAAGUAACGGCAAACUAUGUGCCAGCAGCCGCGGUAAUACAUAGGUUACAAGCGUUAUCCGGAUUUACUGGGCGUAAAGCGAGCGCAGGCUGAUUAACAAGUCUAGUGUGAAAUGCAGUUGCUUAACAACUGUUUGCAUUGGAAACUGUUAGUCUGGAGUGUGAUAGGGAGUUCUGGAACUCCAUAUGGAGCGGUGGAAUGCGUAGAUAUAUGGAAGAACACCUGUGGCGAAAGCGAGAACUUAGGUCACAACUGACGCUUAGGCUCGAAAGUGUGGGGAGCAAAUAGGAUUAGAUACCCUAGUAGUCCACACCGUAAACGAUGGUUAUUAGUUGUUGGUACGAAGUACUAGUAACGAAGCUAACGCAUUAAAUAACCCGCCUGGGUAGUACAUUCGCAAGAAUGAAACUCAAACGGAAUUGACGGGGACCCGCACAAGUGGUGGAGCAUGUUGUUUAAUUCGUCAGCACACGAAGAACCUUACCAGGGUUUGACAUCCUCGGCAAAGCUAUAGAAAUAUAGUGGAGGUUAACCGAGAGACAGGUGGUGCAUGGUUGUCGUCAGCUCGUGUCGUGAGAUGUUGGGUUAAGUCCCGCAACGAGCGCAACCCCUAUUGUUAGUUACUUUAUCUAACGAGACUGCUAACGCAAGUUAGAGGAAGGUGGGGAUGACGUCAAAUCAUCAUGCCCUUUAUAUCCUGGGCCACAAACGUGCUACAAUGGUUGGUACAAACUGUUGCCAAACUGUAAAGUGGAGCUAAUCAGAAAAAACCAAUCUCAGUUCGGAUUGAGGGCUGAAAUUCGUCCUCAUGAAGUUGGAAUCACUAGUAAUCGCGAAUCAGACAUGUCGCGGUGAAUGCGUUCUCGGGUCU